rnacentral:lncRNA from 1 species
UCGGGCAGUUUUAACAUUACGAUGUCUACACGAAUGAAUCACGAAGAUACCCGAAGGUCUUACGAUGGCAACACGACUUCGUGAAGACCUCGUUAUCCCGUCGUGUUGCCAUCGAAUAAAAGUACGAAGGCGACAAGAUGGAACUACGACGGCAAUAAAUCCAGCUAAAUGUAAGUUAAUUUUCGCGCUAAAAUACAUUUAAAGUGCCAUGCGCGAUAUGCACUGGUCAG